GUAAAGUUAUCAAGUUGUCCAAAAUCUUCAAACGGGCGUAUCUUGUGACAGUUUGGCACUCUUGUUUAGUUAUUAAACUAACAAUUAGUAUUAGUUUACUUUGUUGAUAUGACAUGUUGUUUACAAAACUAGGUCAAACAAUUUCAUCCAAUUAAUUUAUACCAGCAAGCAGAUUGUGUUGUAUUUCAAUGACUUAAAAUCUGCCUUUAUGUCACACCAUAUCGGGCUACAUGUUUUCAUGUUUUAGUGUGGGUUGUUAUAUAUGUAUAUUUUAAGGACAAAAAUAAAAUAUUUUACUAAAGGGAAA